AGAAAGAAAGAAAGAAAGAAAGACAGACAGACAGACAGACAAAGAAAGAAAGAAAGACAGAAUGCGGCUUGGUUGGAGAGAAUGUUUCAUUUAUAUUCUUGUAACACUCUGUCUUCUUACUCUAACACUCUCCUUCUGUGAACUUGUGUCCUUGGAUGUUUGUUUUGCCCUUCUCUUUCUGUGCUUUCCUUACCUUACCUCCUGUCCCCCUGUCCUGAAAUCUCUCUCCCUCUCCUCUCCAGAUGCCCGCCCUCGUCCCGUCCGGUGUCUGAGCGUGUGUGUGUGCUCGCGUGUUCAGUCGACUGCAUAGUCACUCCCUUUAGUGAAUGGAGCCCCUGUCCUAACACCUGCAGUACAGUAAAUACUACCGCAGUUAGCCAGUCACGUCACAGGAUCAUUAUCCAAAGAGCAGCCGAUGGGGGCCAGGACUGCCCCGACACACUUUAUGAGGAGAGAGAGUGUGAACCCGCUCCUGCCUGUCCAACUUACAGGUGGCAGACCCACCGCUGGCGCAAGUGCAUUCUGGUCCCUGACUCAGUGAGGCAGGCAGUGGGGGCUUCCACGGAGUCCUGCGGCCAGGGUCUGGAA